rnacentral:sRNA from 1 species
CGUCGAAUUCCGACGUACGAUCCUAAAGUUACGCCAAGAACGGAUAAUUACGACUUAAAGCAUUUGAUCGCGCGUACACAUGCAGGUGCGAUCAUACCAGCACUAAUGCACCGGAUCCCAUCAGAACUCCGCAGUUAAGCGUGCUUGGGCGAUAGUAGUACUAGGAUGGGUGACCUCCUGGGAAGUCCUCGUGUUGCAACUCU